rnacentral:ncRNA from 1 species
UAUAGGAACUGCGAGUAAGGUGCCAGAGAUGGCUGAAAAGGGAAUCCGGUGAAACUCCGGAGCUGUCCCCGCAACUGUAAGUGUGACGAAAUGAGGAAACCACUGUACUUUUUUAGUACGGGAAGGUCUCAAAGUAGGUAGAACACAAGUCAGGAGACCUGCCUUUAUUCUUGCAAAAAGU